GCAUGGGCUCCAGGAAGAGGCUGGGAGGUCAGGGGAGAGGCCUGUCGGCACUUGAUGGAUGGUACUGAAGAAAUGUCUGGCACUUUCUUUCCCCAUGGGGGAGGUAAGGCCACAGGCACCUCUCCCCCGCAUUCCUGCCUGCCUGCCUGCCUAGGAGGGGGGUUGGGUUGGGUAGCCUGAGCAGGGCAAGGAGGGUCCAGAGCCCAGCAGAGAGGCAUUUCGCAAACUCACAUUUGUCUGCACUAGCAUAGGGAGUGGAGGGGCAGGUAGACAAUCCUCAAAUCUCAAGUGAGUUUAAAAUGGACCCGCAUGUUCCCACUUCUAGCUCCCAGAUCUCACCAACUGGGUGCACACUAAUCGUGUUACCCGUGCUAUCCAUGCUGGGAGGGUAGCUACGUGUGCACCACAGAUCAUGUAGUCCCUGGAGGCAUAGUGGAGGUUCGGGCCCACUGAUUUUCACAACACUAGCACAUCUGGCUUUGGAGGUAUGUUGACAUUGGUACAGCAAGUGGAGAAGCAGUGGGGUUAACCCUGUCCCCUUCAUUUAACAUCCAGACAGUGGUAAACUCCUUGCCCCCCCUUCCCUACCACGUGGUGAAAAGGGCAGUUUCUCUCAAGCAUGUCCUUGAUAAAGUAGUACAAAAUUAGUAUGUGAUACUGUUAUCAUUGUUAUCCAAAAUGAAUUCAUAAAGGUUUCUUUUCUCUUAGUUGUUGUUCUAAUUCCUAAUGCACCAACAAGAGCUCCUUAGGGCUCUCCAUGAAGUCUCCACUAGGCUCUGCUAUGGUCUCCUCAAAGUGGAAGAUAACCACAGCCCUUUCCAGAUCUCCAGUUCCCAGCUUGAGAAAUGGUCCUCUGGAAACCAAGGGUGGAGCUCGAGGCCGUGUCGCACGAGGCCGUGUUGCAAACUUCUUUUUCAAGAAGAGAUGCUGCCACGGGAAUAAAGACUUUAAUGGUGUCUGUGUAAGGGGCAGUGAGGCAUGCAGGCCUAGCGUCUCCCCCACAAGUCUGUAUUCACUGCAGGGUGGAGGGUGGGUGGCAGGGACAGGGUGGAGCUGGAGGGAGUAGCUGUGGCCCUCAGGGGCCAGUGCCAGAUCUGGUUUCCCCCACCCCCUCCAUUCACCUCCUAGUCUCUUUUCACUUUCCCACCCAGGUGCUAAUUUCUCUCCCCCAUAAGUCACAGUGUAGCAAGGCUGAGGAGCGAAGAUCAGGACUCUGUGUCUCUGCCUGAGCACACGUAGAGUGAGGUGAGCACAGUGUUCC